UACCAGCACCCCGGAGUGGUCGGGACGUUUAUUGGGCCUAAAGCAUCCGUAGCCGGUUCUACAAGUCUUCCGUUAAAUCCACCUGCUCAACAGAUGGGCUGCGGAAGAUACUAUGGAGCUAGGAGGCGGGAGAGGCAAGCGGUACUCGAUGGGUAGGGGUAAAAUCCGUUGAUCCAUUGAAGACCACCAGUGGCGAAGGCGGCUUGCCAGAACGCGCUCGACGGUGAGGGAUGAAAGCUGGGGGAGCAAACCGG
rnacentral:rRNA from 1 species